rnacentral:rRNA from 1 species
AUUGAACGCUGGCGGCAUGCCUUACACAUGCAAGUCGAACGGCAGCACGGGUGCUUGCACCUGGUGGCGAGUGGCGAACGGGUGAGUAAUACAUCGGAACGUACCUUAUCGUGGGGGAUAACGCAGCGAAAGCUGUGCUAAUACCGCAUACGCCCUGAGGGGGAAAGCGGGGGAUCGCAAGACCUCGCGCGAUUAGAGCGGCCGAUGCCUGAUUAGCUAGUUGGUGGGGUAAAAGCCCAACAAGGCGACGAUCAGUAGCUGGUCUGAGAGGACGAUCAGCCACACUGGGACUGAGAAACGGCCCAGACUCCGACGGGAGGCAGCAGUGGGGAAUUUUGGACAAUGGGGGCAACCCUGAUCCAGCAAUGCCGCGUGAGUGAAGAAGGCCUUCGGGUUGUAAAGCUCUUUUGUCAGGGAAGAAACACCGGCUCUAACACAGUCCGGGAAUGACGGUACCUGAAGAAUAAGCACCGGCUAACUACGUGCCAGCCGCCGCGGUAA